UCCCAAGGGUUGGGCUGUUCGCCCAUUAAAGCGGUACGCGAGCUGGGUUUAGAACGUCGUGAGACAGUUCGGUCCCUAUCCGCUGCGCGCGUAGGAAGUUUGAGAGGAUCUGACCCUAGUACGAGAGGACCGGGUUGGACGAACCUCUGGUGUGUCAGUUGUUCCGCCAGGAGCACCGCUGAUUAGCUACGUUCGGGAUGGAUAACCGCUGAAAGCAUCUAAGCGGGAAGCCGGCCUCAAGAUGAGACUUCCAUGCCUUCGGGCGAGAGGCUCCCAGCCAGACUACUGGGUUGAUAGGCCGGAUGUGGAAGCGCGGUAACGCGUGAAGCUGACCGGUACUAAUAAGCCGAUGACUUGAUAACACCUC
rnacentral:rRNA from 1 species